GAAAAAGUAUGAACAAUCUCCUGCGUGUGAUACAUUUUUGCUGUUCUAGCAGCCACCCAGCAGGAAUUUGUCUGAGGGAGAGGACUAUCAGCUGUGCCCGCCUACAAUUGCAGUUGGUACUCUACAGGACGGGGCAUGGCUCAGAACAGGCCUGAAUGAUGAAAUACGAGAAUCUCAGACAUCUCUCCAUCUCUCCUCAACUUAAUAUUGUGCAGACCCUUCUGGAUGGGCUUGCAGCAUGUCCCUGGGAGACAGCAGGGACUUACUCUGACUGUUGCAUCUGAGUACAGUACUUGGGACAGUGUGGUUUUGGUUUUCCUGGAGAAGAGCCU